GCAAGUCGAGCGGUAACAGAUCGCUGGGAUCCCUUCGGGGUGAACUUGAUGCUGACGAGCGGCGGACGGGUGAGUAACGCGUAGGAAUCUACCCAGUAGCGGGGGAUAGCCCGGGGAAACUCGGAUUACUACCGCAUACGCCCUAAGGGGGCAAGGCGCGGAUCUCUGCGGAGACCUGGUACCAUUGGAGGAGCCUGCGUUGGAUUAGCUAGUUGGUAGGGUAAAGGCCUACCAAGGCGACGAUCCAUAGCUGGUCUGAGAGGACGAUC
rnacentral:rRNA from 1 species